GGGGAUGUAGCUCAGCUGGGAGAGCGCCAGGAUCGCACCCUGGAGGCCAGCGGUUCGAAUCCGCUCAUCUCCACCA
rnacentral:tRNA from 1 species